ACCGUCACGACUUCGCCGUUGGCAGCCACUUCAUCAUCUUUGACCCAAGCGAAGGUGGAGUAAUGGGAGGCACUUCUGAAGCCAAUCUGCACACAGAGAUAUAAAUCACCACUGGUUGAAGACUCUAAGUUUUCCAGAAUGGUGUAGGUGAAUGUGGCAUCUUCAUCUGCACUCCAGUGUCCCUCCACGCAGGUUAAAUCGGCUGUUGUUGACUGAGGAGCGGAGAAAGUGCAUCCCAUGGUCAGCGAUACGAAAGUUCAGAUCACCGAACCAGAAAACGAGUCUGACAUGCGGGAACAACAGCAAUGUGGGAACCAUGAAGUAUGUGAGAGAGCCUGAACGUGAGCAAACUUCAUCCAGCAUA